CUAGAGCUAAUACAUGCCGACAGAGUUCCGACCAGCGCCGGAUUCGGUCCGCCGUGCCCGGUGUUCGGAAGGAACGCUCUUAUUAGAUCAAAACCGGCCAAGCGGUCGUUCGUGCUUCGGCGCGUUCGGCUGUAAGCGGCCCGCGCAAAGACUUGACGACUCUGAAUAAUUUCGAGCUGAUCGCACGGUCUCGCACCGGCGACGUAUCUUUCAAAUGUCUGCCUUAUCAACUGUCGACGGUAGGUUCGAUGCCUACCGUGGUGGUAACGGGUAACGGGGAAUCAGGGUUCGAUUCCGGAGAGGGAGCCUGAGAAACGGCUACCACAUCCAAGGAAGGCAGCAGGCGCGCAAAUUACCCACUCCCAGCUCGGGGAGGUAGUGACGAAAAAUAACGAUACGGGACUCAUCCGAGGCCCCGUAAUCGGAAUGAGUACACUUUAAAACCUUGGUCACACGAGGAUCAAUUGGAGGGCAAG
rnacentral:rRNA from 1 species